rnacentral:misc_RNA from 1 species
AAUUGAAAUCAAUAAGAAUUAUCUUUUUCUACACUCACCACCAAGCCUUAUGAUGAUGUUGUUGAGUCCAUGUGCAAGCUAAUACAAUCUGAUUCACUUGGUCAAUGCCUAUUUACUUCUAUAGAUAGGCCGUUGAACUUGAGUUUUACAGGUGGGUGAUUGAACAUUGGUCCUAUUGGAAGGGGUUGCAAGGAAAGGAAAAAGAGUUUGCUUAGCAAGGAUGGACCAAGAACUAAGGCAAAUUGAUUGAUUUUCUACUGUAGCUGAAUAUCAAUUUUGUGGCACUAGAAAAUUGAUGUGAUUCUACUGCAAUGGAGUAGAUGGAGUUACAGUUCUGAUACAAUGAAAGAAACAACAAAUAUACAAAUUUGCGUUUCAACAAGCUCACAAUUUUUGGAUACUGAGAUUCUUAGUAAUCUUAACUCUAAUUGCUGGCAAAAGAGUUAUAUUAAUUGUAUUACCAAAUCUUAAAUCUUCUGCUAUCUUCUAAUUGAAGUGAUGAUCUUUUCUAUUCUAAUAGUAGUAGAGAAGAAGAAAGAAUAAAUAUUAGUAAUAUAAGAAUUUUUACAUAUUAAAG